rnacentral:rRNA from 1 species
UAGCGGUAAAAUGCGCAGAUAUCGGAAGGAACACCAGUGGCGAAGGCGGUGCUCUGGGGUGUGCCUGACGCUGAGAGACGAAAGCUAGGGGAGCGAACAGGAUUAGAGACCCUGGUAGUCCUAGCCCUAAACGAUGGAUGCUAGAUGUGGGGCCGAGAAGGCUCCGUGUCGCAGUUAACGCGGUAAGCAUCCCGCCUGGGGAUUACGGCCGCAAGGCUAAAACUCAAACGAAUUGACGGGGCCCCGCACAAGCAGCGGAGCGUGUGGUUUAAUUCGAUGCUACACGAAGAACCUUACCUGGGUUUGACAUGUAAGUGGUAGUGAAGCGAAAGCGGAGCGACCCUUCGGGGAGCUUACACAGGUGCUGCAUGGCUGUCGUCAGCUCGUGCCGUGAGGUGUCGGGUUAAGUCCCGUAACGAGCGCAACCCUUGCCCUUAGUUACAAGUGUCUAAGGGGACUGCCGGCGGUAAGCCGGAGGAAGGUGGGGAUGACGUCAAGUCAGCAUGGCCCUUAUAUCCAGGGCUACACACACGCUACAAUGGUCAGUACGAAGGGCAGCGAAGCCGCGAGGUGAAGCGAAUCCCACCAAAGCUGAUCUAAGUUCGGAUUGCAGGCUGCAACUCGCCUGCAUGAAGCUGGAGUUGCUAGUAACCGCGCGUCAGCCAUAGUGCGGUGAAUACGUUCCCGGGGCUUGUACACACCGCCCGUCACGUCAUGGGAGUCGGUAACGCCUGAAGCUGGUAGUCUGGCCCACACGGGGGGACGCCAUCUAAGGCGGGGCUGGCAACUGGGACGAAGUCGUAACAAGGUAACCAAGGGCGAA